CUAUACUUUAGCAAUAGCAGCCAUCUUGUCUGAACACUGGCACCAUUUUGUCACAUGAAACAAACUACAAAAAACAUAUAUUGUUUCCUUCAUCAAAUGUAUUUGUAAAUCUAGGUUUUAUUCUAUCAAAACUUUUGUCUUCUAAAUAAUCAAAACAUAUGUAUGUCCAGGCUUUGCAAAAUAUAGUAAUCCAUUAUCAGUCAUGAUAUUAAAAUCUCAUUCUCAUGAAUUAAAUCAAAGAUUUUAAAUCAACCUCAGAAGUAACAACAUUGUUUUUACCUUCUGUAAAAUGAUUGGAGUUACUGUAUAAUCGCAUACACCCAAUAUAACAUUGCAUGUUCCUAACUGCUACAUUAGUGUAUUUCAUUCUGCCAUAUUUGCAAACUUGAUGUGUAUUUUUAUUUUAAUUAAUUAACCUAAUACUUUCUUAUAACACACAUAAAACAAUGAAAAAACAGUACAGACUAACAAUUCAUUUAAAACAACAAACUAACAUAGAUCUCUAUUCUUGUGCUGUUCUUAAUUCUGGAAUCAGCCUGUGUACAUCUGUUGGCACACAUAACCAUGCUCAUUCCCUAAACUGAUCAUGUCUCGUGAAGUUAUCUGAUUCUUAUAACUUUCUGUGUUACACUGCAUUGCUUGUCUGUCUCCUAAUUUCGAUUUAGCUAAAAUUGCUUUUAUUUGUCUGAUUAUAAGUUUACAAGGAAAGGCCUUUAUUGAUUUAUCUCCACGUGUAUUUUCUCUGUCAAAAUUUUCAAUCAACAAAUUUAAUUUCUCAUUUGCUUUUGAUUUGAUAUCUCGGAUAAAAUAUCUGCAAGAUCUUAAAUAAUGUUGUUUGUUGCACCAAAAACAAAUAACUUUAGGAGUUAUAUUUUGCCCUAUAUUAUCAACCCUACAGUUUUUAGUUGAAUAAAUUGGGAGGGGCUCAGCUGUCUGUAUCACUCUACACUCUGUCCUAGAAGAAGAAGAAGGAGGGGGACGGGGGCUGUAACAUCUGCACUUCUUUCUCUGCCUAAAUCCACAAGUCGUUUUAACCCCUUCAUUCUUGGUUUCCCUCCUUAAGUUAUCCAAGAACAAAGCUACUUCUGUCAAAGUGCUUUUUUCUCUAGCUAACACAAUUGCAGUUGGAUCUAGAUCUUGAAUUUUUUUCACAAAUUCAUUAAUUAACUGAUCUUCAGAAAAAUCAGCAACAAGUCUAUAUGCACUUUCAAAUUUUACAAGAAAACUAAAUAUAUCCUCCCCCUUGUGUGGUUUUAG